rnacentral:rRNA from 1 species
CGUGCCAGCAGCCGCGGUAAUACGAAGGGGGCUAGCGUUGCUCGGAAUCACUGGGCGUAAAGGGCGCGUAGGCGGCGCUUUAAGUCGGGGGUGAAAGCCUGUGGCUCAACCACAGAAUGGCCUUCGAUACUGGGACGCUUGAGUAUGGUAGAGGUUGGUGGAACUGCGAGUGUAGAGGUGAAAUUCGUAGAUAUUCGCAAGAACACCGGUGGCGAAGGCGGCCAACUGGACCAUUACUGACGCUGAGGCGCGAAAGCGUGGGGAGCAAACAGGAUUAGAUACCCUGGUAGUCCACGCCGUAAACGAUG